UAACUGCUAUAAUUAAUCACCAUCAAAGAC
rnacentral:piRNA from 1 species